GCAAAUUCUCUUCUCUUGAGUCCGACCACAGUUCCUCCACCGACACCAAGCU
rnacentral:sRNA from 1 species